rnacentral:tRNA from 1 species
CGGGGUGUAGUAUAGUGGUAGUACGCAAGGCUGGGGGUCUUGUAGUGGGAGUUCGAUUCUCCCCACCCCGACCA